rnacentral:tRNA from 1 species
GAUCCCGUAGUUCAACUGGAUAGAAUAUCGGUUUCCUAAACUGAGGGUUGGGGGUUCGAUUCCCUCCGGGAUCG